AACGAACGCUGGCGGCAGGCCUAACACAUGCAAGUCGAGCGAGGACUUCGGUUCUAGCGGCGGACGGGGGAGUAACGCGUGGGAAUGUGCCCUUCUCUACGGAAUAGCUCUGGGACAGUGGGAAUAAUACCGAAUACGCCCUAUUGGGGAAAGAUUUAUCGGAGAAGGAUCAGCCCGCGUUGGAUUAGGUAGUUGGUUGGGUAAUGGCCUACCACGCCGACGAUCCAUAGCUGGUUUGAGAGGAUGAUCAGCCACACUGGGACUGAGACACGGCCCAGACUCCUACGGGAUGCAGCAGUGGGGAAUCUUAGACCAUGGGGGCAAUCCUGAUCGAGCCAUGCCGCGUGAGUGAUGAAGGCCUUAGGGUUGUAAAGCUCUUUCAGCUGUGCAGAUCAUGACGGUACCAGCAGAAGAAGCCCCGGCUAACUCCGUG
rnacentral:rRNA from 1 species